CCUACGGGGGGCAGCAGUGGGGAAUAUUGCACAAUGGGGGAAACCCUGAUGCAGCGACGCCGCGUGAGCGAGGCAGUACUUCGGUAUGUAAAGCUCUAUCAGCAGGGACGAAAAUAGAGGGUACUUGACUAAGAAGCCCCGGCUAACUACGUGCCAGCAGCCGCGGUAUUACGUAGGGGGAAGGCGUUUGCCGGAUUUACGGGUUGUAAAGGGUGCGUAGACGGCAAGGCAAGUCAGAAGUGAAAGGGCAGGGCUCAACCCUGUACAUGCUUUUGGAAAUGUGGUGCUAGAGUGCAGGAGGGGUAAGUGGAAUUUCUAGUGUAGCAGUGAAAUGCGUAGAUAUUAGGAGGAACACCAGUGGCGAAGGCGGCUUACUGGACUGUAACUGACGUUGAGGCUCGAAAGCGUGGGGAGCAAACAGGAUUAGAUACCCUUGUAGUC
rnacentral:rRNA from 1 species